UCACUUUAUCUCCUUCAACUCACACACUCCCUCUUCUUUUUUCAUUGAAUUCUACUUUUUCUCUCUUCUCUAUUCAUUCACCUUCUUUCUCUUAUCUCUCUCACACCUCUCUAUCUCUCCACCUCACUCACAUUUCUAAUCUCACUCUUACUCACACACACCACACACAUCAAUUUCUUCCCUCUUUACUAGCCUACAUAACAUUAACAAUAUAAUUAUGGUUAUUAUUGACACUCAUACCUAUAUUCUUCUAUAUCUAUUUAUAAAUAAUUAAAACAAGCAACUAACAUGAGAAUUUCAAAAUAAAUGAUUAGACUUUGCAUCUACUAUGUCAAGAAUUAAGAGUAUAUCAACUCUAAGGACUAUGAUUAUUAUUGACACUCAUACAUAGAUUUUUUCUAUAUCUAUUUCUAAAUUCCUAAAACAAUCAACUAACAUGAGAAUUUCGAAAGAAAUGAUUAGACUUUGCAUCAACUAUGUAGAGAAUUAAGAGUAUAUCAACUCUAAAGACUAUAAUAGAAGUGUAGCAACAAAUACAUCCCAAAAAAUGUAAGAAUAUUGAUUUACUCAUAGACCUCCAUAUUGAUUUACUCAUAGACCUCCAAAUUUUGAGUUACAAUACAUGAAGAACUAUUAUAAAUUAGAGGUAACUUAUGCUUUAAUAAUAGGUUAUGCCUUUUGAAGGUAAUCGUUAAAGCUACGGCUUUAAUAGAGAUACUUGAAGUAUAUAUGGGGUGGGGAGAUUAAAUAUCAUAUCUCUAAUCCUCUUGAUUGUGGCGCACGAUUGUUGCGACAUGAUACUAUUUCAAUUGCGACGUAAAUGAUGUCCCCCUUUGAUAAUUCCCGCAGGUAUAUAAAUGAUGUCCCCCUAAGAAAUUUCCAUAUGCUUAUGACUAAUUACCUCGGCGCAUAACAACCAUGAUUGGUAUAGAAAUCACGUUCCGGCGAACCCGUGCAACGCACGGGCAGCCGACUAGUU
rnacentral:lncRNA from 1 species